UACAGAGGGUGCAAGCGUUAAUCGGAAUUACUGGGCGUAAAGGGUGUGUAGGUGGCAAGAUAAGUUAGGUGUGAAAUCCUCGGGCUUAACCUGAGAAUUGCGCUUAAUACUGUCUGGCUAGAGUACUGCAGAGGGCAGUGGAAUUUCCAGUGUAGCGGUGAAAUGCGUAGAUAUUGGAAGGAACAUCAGUGGCGAAGGCGACUGCCUGGAUAGAUACUGACACUGAGACACGAAAGCGUGGGUAGCAAACAGG
rnacentral:rRNA from 1 species